ACCCUGUAAGAGUCUCUGAUUGGACUGGAGUGACAAACCAAGGAGGAAUCGAAGAAAAAGAUCCAGGUGUCCAUUAUCACUCUCUAGUGCCUUGUCCACUGCAGUCUUGAGCAAAUCAAUCAUGUUUUCACUUUUGUUUUCCUGUUCUGUAGAGUCUUGAUCAAACACAUACUUCUUGUUGAUGUCUAGAAACAGAUGUGCAUAAAGGGCUGCAAUAAACUCUUGAAUGCUCAAGUGAACGAAGCAGUACAUGGUACCAAGAACGAUCCCUGUUUCCUCCUUAAAGAUCUGGGUACACAUGCCUGAGUACACUGAUGCCUUAUAGACGUCAAUACCACAGGCUUCCAGAUCUGUGUCAUAGAAGAUCACAUUGUUUCUUUCCAGCUGAUCAAAUGCCAGUUUCCCCAGUGAAAAGAUGGCAUCUUUAUCCCAGGAAACAUCUGGUGUAUGUUCUCCAUCAUACUUUCGUCUGCUCUGCUGGAUCUGAAAUCUGAGGAAGUGUGUGUACAUUUGUGUCAGAGUCUUAGGAGUGUCUUCAGUAUUUGACUCCUGCAGUGUUUUGGAGGCAUCAUCAGCCUGAUUGUUUUUCACAACAUUAUUUCUUUUCUCCUCUAAAAUGUUCUGGAGAACAGUGGCUGAAAUCCAGCAGAAGACUGGGAUGUGGCACAUGAUAAAGAGACUCUUUGAUUGUUUAACAUGAUCAAUGAUUUCUUUGGCCUGAUUCUCAUCCGUGAAUCUUUUUCUGAAGUACUCCUCCUUUUGUGCAUCAUUGAAUCCUCGUAUCUCUGUCAGCCGGUCGAUACAGUCAGGAGGAAUCUUACUGGCAGCUGCUGGUCUGCUGGUGAUCCAGAUGAGAGCAGAAGGAAGCAGAUUUCCCUUGAUGAGGUUCGUCAGGAGAACAUCCAGUUCUGAUCUGCUUGUCUUGUUCAGGUGCUUCAAACAAAUGUUUGCACUCAACCUGUAUCUCCUGUGAUUCAUGACGUCUGGAAGCAACUUCAAUCUGUCUCACCUCAUGUUCAGUAUUGACCUGUUCACUACAACCCUGAGUGAUAUAGAGAUCUGUGUAGAUGUUCUUCAGAAGUGUAGAGUCACCUUGCUUUGCAAUUCCUUCAAACACACAUUGAUACUUCUUCUUUAGGCUACACUUUAGCUGAUGAAUGAAGAUCAGCUCAUCUAAACACAGAAAUAAAAUACUGUUUAGUCUCUGGGUUUUGUUAUGU
ensembl:lncRNA